UUAGUUUAUGCGUGUGUUUUGUAGGGAAGCUUUCCACAAAUGGCUGUUGUCACAGGAGAAUGUGGCAUUUAAGUUGGCCUGUGAUACUACACUGACUUUGAAACUUGCCUGUAAGGAUGAGAAGAAGUCGGUGCUCCAUCUUGACCCAACAGUGCCAUGGUUCACAAGGUGCAUACAGCGCCAGGAGGCAGCCAAGCAUGUUAUCACUGUGUUAGAAACAACUAGCAAACUCCCAGUAGAUUUGGUCAGGAAAGGGAAAAGUAUUUUGAAAAAAAGUCAGAGAGAGUAUGCAAUUCAUCUCAGGCAGUGGAUUCCAGAUUUUAAUCACCUGCUAGGAGAAAAAUUGCUUCUUCAAAUCCCCUCUAAAUCUCUCAUGUCUUACCCGAGACCAGGUUGUUGUCACCUCUGCUUUGGGGAAAAGUUUCUCAUCCGUGCUUAAUCCUAUGUGCCUCAGUCAGGUCCCCUCAAAUUCAAUCAAGCCUCCUUUAAUCAAGGUCUAUAAAUCCAGUGUAACAAGUACCUCCUCAUAGUCGAAGCAAUACAGGCACUGUCUGGUAAAUCACUUCAGUGCAAUCACACCCUUUACAUUGUCUGGAGACUAGAAUAUUUGGAACACUCUUUGAGCACUAAGAUUAGAGUUACUGAAUAAUUUUAAGGCAGAGGUAAGAUAAGUACUUGAAAAGCAUGGAGGAAGAACAUUACUGAGUCUAGACUUGAAUAUUGGAGCACGCUUCACAGGCCUACUCCUUCAAAUGCUUUUCUGUCUCUCUGUAUCUCCAGCAAUCUUUUUUUUCAGAUUUCCACAACUUUUGGGUUCACAACUAUGUUUUGCUGAAGGUUACAGAGUAAUUUUGCUUAGCAUCCUGGAAAAUAAUGCACAACCUCUCCUAAAAAAAAAUCAACACUUAUGUUUUUAAGGAGGUUAAGAACUGUCAAGACAGCACCUGUGUACAAAUGCUCAUUCAGUUGCAAUUUUCUGGAUAGAUUAUGAAGCCAUUUAUUUCACUUAUUUUAUGUCUAACGUUUGUUUUUCCUUUUGAAUGUGAUUCUGGAACUGUCGAAGCCUGUGAUUUGCAGCUUGGAGAUUGUUCCAGUGUCCCAGUGCUUUGCAGUCUCUGAAAGGAUUCCAGGAGACACAAACCUCAUGGCGAGAAGACUGCAGGACAGGGUGCGAGCCAAGAUUCAACUGUUUCUCUGAUGAAAGCUUCCAUUGAUUGCCAAUUAAAGUGAUGGGGGAGAUUGAAACAUCAAGGUGAAUGCAGGAGAUGUAUGGCAGCCACAUUAGGCACAGUAAGAUCCCAUGAGAAACAAAUGGCAUCUAGGAGAGAGCUGGCCUCACUGAUGGAGGGAGAAAGGAAGUCUGUCACAACAAGGACAGCCGCAAGGAAACAAAAACAACUCCAAAUGGACCAGAGGAUGUCAGAAUUUCAUCGCAGGGGACAAUUUACAGCAGGAAACUGGAGCACCCAGAAGAAGCCCAGACUGUCAGAGAGAAAACAUGCAAACUCCACACAGACAGCACCUGGACUCAGGAUUGGAGCUCUGAGGCAGAGGCUCUCCACUCUGCCUCUCCCUCUAGCGUUCUAAUUGGCUCUUGUCAAGCCACUCCUCGAGUGAAGUGUGGCCCUGGAGGGGCAGAUAUGAGUCUGUCUGUUUGAGAGCCAGGGUUGGAUCAAUCUUCAUCUAGCACCUCAUCCACGGUUGUGGGUAGCCCUGAGCUGGCAUCGCCUGAUGGAGUGCUUGAAGCAUACAAGCCUCCACGCAACGUCAACAAGUUGAUCCAGCAUAGAAUAAUUACAUCCAUGUAAUUGUGUUAUAUUUUAUUAUGCAAGGGGGUAUUAUGUAGGGGCAAGUUGCUCUUGUGGACUGCCAUAAUUAAUGGGGCAUCUUAGCAAGUAAAAUGUUGUAAACCUUUGGACUUUGGUGAUCCAUUGAAUUAUAAAUGGCAGUUUGACAUUUUAGGAUAUUGUGUCCUUCGGCAAACCCAACUUCAACAAAUUCUUCUCUUACAUCAAACUUUGAACCCUUAUUGAUGCUUCUCAAGAAAUUCAGGCCAUGGGAAAUAUUGGGGCCAAUGAGAGAGACGCUUUCUUCAAAUGAAGUGACAAUGCCCUUCUAUAAGAAAUAGCUGACACAAUUCCAGCUGGAGCAGUAAGAUCAUGGCUUGUCUCUUCAUCACGAAUUCAUACAGCCUGGUAGCAGGAGGUCAAAAGCUUGCUCAAGGCUUAAUGGAGCUUGAGCUGGAGCCUCAAGCCUGGAGCUUGCUCAAGGCUCAAUGGCUCUGCAGUUAUUUCCACUAAUCUUCGAUAUACCUCAGACGAUAUCCCAGACACUAGUCUAAGACAGACGCACACAUCCAAA